rnacentral:tRNA from 1 species
UCCUUAGCUCAGCUGGUUAGAGCAUCUGACUGUUAAUCAGAGGGUCAAGAGAGGUAGAAUCCUUAAGCCA